AAUCAACGCUGGCGGCGUGCCUAACACAUGCAAGUCGAACGAGAAAGGGGAGCAAUCCCUGAGUACAGUGGCGACCGGGUGAGUAACACGUGACUACCUACCCUUGAGUGGGGGAUAACCUCGGGAAACCGAGGCUAAUACCGCAUAAUAUCGCAAGAUCAAAGGAGCAAUCCGCUCUUGGAGGGGUCGCGGCUGAUUAGCUAGUUGGUAGGAUA
rnacentral:rRNA from 1 species